rnacentral:rRNA from 1 species
GUGAGGAAUAUUGGUCAAUGGGCGGGAGCCUGAACCAGCCAAGUCGCGUGAAGGAAGAAGGAUCUAUGGUUCGUAAACUUCUUUUGCAGGGGAAUAAAGUGCAGGACGUGUCCUGUUUUGUAUGUACCCUGAGAAUAAGGAUCGGCUAACUCCGUGCCAGCAGCCGCGGUAAUACGGAGGAUCCGAGCGUUAUCCGGAUUUAUUUGGUUUAAAGGGUGCGUAGGUGGUUUGAUAAGUCAGCGGUGAAAGUUUGCAGCUUAACUGUAAAAAUGCCGUUGAAACUGUCGGACUUGAGUGUAAAUGAGGUAGGCGGAAUGCGUGGUGUAGCGGUGAAAUGCAUAGAUAUCACGCAGAACUCCGAUUGCGAAGGCAGCUUACUAAGCUACAACUGACACUGAAGCACGAAAGCGUGGGGAUCAAACAGGAUUAGAAACCCUGGUAGUCC